GGGUGGGUGGCUCAGUGGUUAGAGCCUAGGUCUCGUAACCGAAAGGUUCCGAAGUUCGACCCUCGCCAGAGGCA
rnacentral:tRNA from 1 species